GAUGAACGCUGGCGGCGUGCUUAACACAUGCAAGUCGAACGCAGAAGGCGGAGUUUGCUCUUCUGGAUGAGUUGCGAACGGGUGAGUAACGCGUAGGUAACCUGCCUGGUAGCGGGGGAUAACUUCUGGAAACGAUAGCUAAUACCGCAUGACAACAGUUACUGCAUGAUAACUGUUUAAAAGUUGCAACUGUUCCACUACCACAUGGACCUGCGUUGUAUUAGCUUGUUGGUGAGGUAACGGCUCACCAAGGCGACGAUGCAGAGCCGACCUGGGAGGGUGGGCGGCCCGACUGGGAGGGAGACACGGCCCAGACUGCUACGGGGAGGAGCAAGAGGGAAUCUUGGGGGAUGGGCGGAAAUCAUUGCGAACAAGGCCGCGUGAGUGAACAAGGUUUUCGGGUGGGAGAGCACUGUUGUAAGGGAAGAAACAGCGUGAGAGUGGAAAGAUCACACAGUGACGGUAUCUUACCAAAAAGCGACGGCUAACUACGUG
rnacentral:rRNA from 1 species